GCCAGCAUCCUAGCCGAAGCGCGGACCUCAGUCCCGGCUGGCCGUAUUACACCCUGGGCUAUAACACCUCCACCGAAGUGGAGGCCACAUUCCCAGAGCCUUUAUCCGGCCGCCGAAACUGAUGCUGGCCUGUCCAAACUGAGUAAACCGGUCAGAAGACCGGCCGAACAGUUUAAACAAGUCUGAUUGCAAGCGCUUCCCUUUCAACAAUUUCACGUGCUUUUUAACUCUCUUUCCAAAGUGCUUUUCAUCUUUCGAUCACUCUACUUGUGCGCUAUCGGUCUCUCGCCAAUAUUUAGCUUUAGAAGAAAUUUACCUCCCAUUUAGAGCUGCAUUCCCAAACAACUCGACUCGUCGAAGGAGAUUUACAUAGGGUGCCAUUUCCUGUCACAUACGGGAUUCUCACCCUCUAUGACGUCCUGUUCCAAGGAACUUAGACAGGCGGCUUCCCCAAAUCAUCCUCUACAAAUUACAAUGCGAACCCGAAGGCUAGCUUUCAAAUUUGAGCUGUUGCCGCUUCACUCGCCGUUACUAGGGCAAU
rnacentral:rRNA from 1 species